rnacentral:rRNA from 1 species
UUGAAAGGGAAACGAUUGAAGUCAGUCGUNCCAGCGGGAAAUCAACCUUUCGAGUGGGGUUUUGGAGUUUUGAAGUGUGUCAAAACCUUUGAGAUUCCAAAAUUUUCGCUCUUUUGGUGUACUUUCUCGUGGGUAGGUUAACAUCGAUUUUGAUCAUCAUAAAAAGAUUGGAGGAAUGUAGCUUCGAUCUUGUAUUGAAGUGUUGUUAUAGCCUUUGGUAAAUGUGANGAUUAGGAUCGAGGAUUGCAACGAAUACCCUUUUGGGCUAUCCGCCUGAUCUCUGAUACGUGGCCUUGGUAUCGAAAGCUUGCUUAUGGUAUUAAGGUAUUACGGUCAAAAGGUUAGAACGGAUUACAUUCGUUAAGGAUGUUGACGUA